rnacentral:rRNA from 1 species
CCUACGGGUGGCAGCAGUGGGGAAUAUUGGACAAUGGGCGAAAGCCUGAUCCAGCCAUGCCGCGUGUGUGAAGAAGGCCUUCGGGUUGUAAAGCACUUUCAGUGGGGAAGAAAGCCUUGGGGCUAAUACCCUCGAGGAAGGACAUCACCCACAGAAGAAGCACCGGCUAACUCCGUGCCAGCAGCCGCGGUAAUACGGAGGGUGCGAGCGUUAAUCGGAAUUACUGGGCGUAGAGCGCGCGUAGGCGGUCUGAUAAGCCGGUUGUGAAAGCCCCGGGCUCAACCUGGGAACGGCAUCCGGAACUGUCAGGCUAGAGUGCAGGAGAGGAAGGUAGAAUUCCCGGUGUAGCGGUGAAAUGCGUAGAGAUCGGGAGGAAUACCAGUGGCGAAGGCGGUCUUCUGGACUGACACUGACGCUGAGGUGCGAAAGCGUGGGUAGCAAACAGGAUUAGAUACCCCGGUAGUC